rnacentral:rRNA from 1 species
GACGAACCGUGCGAACGUUGUUCGGAUUCACUGGGCUUAAAGGGCGCGUAGGCGGGCUGUCAAGUCUGGGGUGAAAUGCUGCGGCUCAACCGUAGAACUGCCUUAGAUACUGACGGCCUCGAGGAAGGUAGGGGCAUGCGGAACUGUAGGUGGAGCGGUGAAAUGCGUUGAUAUCUACAGGAACUCCGGUGGCGAAAGCGGCGUGCUGGACCUUUUCUGACGCUGAGGCGCGAAAGCUAGGGGAGCAAACGGG